rnacentral:rRNA from 1 species
GCCUAUGGCCAUGCCACUCUGAACAAGCCUGAUCCCAUCUGAUCUCAGAAGCCAAAAAGGGCCGGGCCUGGUUAGUACUUGGAUGGGAGACCACCUAGGAAUAUUAGGUGGUGUAGGCA